AUCGGUGAAGUGAAGAGGUGCAGCAAGCUGCUUCCACCAUGACUGAGAAUAACCCAAAAACCAAAACCCAUGAUCUUCCUCUUCCAGAACCACCACCAUCUUCUUCUUCUUCUUCUUCUUCAAACGGGGAUCAUGGAUCAACCAAAUUGACACCCCCCAAGAGGCAUUUCAACCCACCAGAAUCAGAGAUUCCAGAUGCUGCAACUCUGAAGGAUCAAUGGAGGUACGCCAUCAGGCAAUACAGCAAAUGGUACUCUCACGCUUGGGGCACUGCAAUUCUCGCUGGGGGUGCCUUCUUCGCCCUUGGUUGGCUCAUCAAGGGUGAAAACCCUAUACCCUCUUUUCGCUCCAACAACGCUCAAUCUCAUGACGACGGUGACGGCAAACCUCCCUCUUGAUCAAUCCACACUUUUCUGCUUUUGCUGGUGCCAUGUUCCAUUCUCUUCUUUUGGGCGCUAUUUACUGGAAUCUAGCGUCAAAAGAGCCCUGAAGAUGAUUGCAAUGCCCUAUGGAAUUUUAAUGUUUACAAUCUCGUAUCACAAAUGUAAAUUUGCUUUUCUUAAAAUGUGUUCUUGCCACUGUUCUGAUAUGGAUGUGAGAUAAAAGUUUGUACAUAUGUUUCAUUUCAACUUUCAAAUUAUGAGUGAUUAUCAAACAGUUUAGUUCAA